UACGGGGGGGGCAAGCGUUGUCCGGAAUUAUUGGGCGUAAAGAGCUCGUAGGCGGUUUGUCGCGUCGGCUGUGAAAACCCGAGGCUCAACCUCGGGCCUGCAGUCGAUACGGGCAAACUAGAGUACUGCAGGGGAGACUGGAAUUCCUGGUGUAGCGGUGAAAUGCGCAGAUAUCAGGAGGAACACCGGUGGCGAAGGCGGGUCUCUGGGCAGUAACUGACGCUGAGGAGCGAAAGCGUGGGGAGCGAACAGG
rnacentral:rRNA from 1 species